UACGUAGGAGGCAAGCGUUGUCCGGAAUUACUGGGCGUAAAGCGCGUGUAGGUGGUGGGACAAGUCUGCUGUGAAAGCGCCUGGCUUAACCGGGCGAGGUCGGCGGAAACUGUCGCACUCGGAGGACGGUAGAGGGGGUGGAAUUCCCGGUGUAGGUGGUGAAAUGCGUAGAGAUCGGGAGGAACACCUGUGGCGAAGGCGGCCCCUGGCCGGCCCUGACACUGAGACGCGAAGGCGUGGGGAGCGAAC
rnacentral:rRNA from 1 species